rnacentral:rRNA from 1 species
GAGUUUGAUCAUGGCUCAGACCGUACGCUGGCGGCAGGCCUAACACAUGCAAGUCGAGCGCUCCCUUCGGGUGGAGCGGCGGACGGGUUAGUAACGCGUGGGAAUAUACCCAGUUCUAAGGAAUAGCCACUGGAAACGGUGAGUAAUACCUUAUACGCCCUUCGGGGGAAAGAUUUAUCGGAAUUGGAUUAGCCCGCGUUAGAUUAGAUAGUUGGUGGGGUAAUGGCCUACCAAGUCUACGAUCUAUAGCUGGUUUGAGAGGAUGAUCAGCAACACUGGGACUGAAACACGGCCCACACUCCUACGGGAGGCAGCAGUGGGGAAUCUUAAACAAUGGGCGCAAGCCUGAUCUAUCCAUGCCGCGUGAGUGAUGAAUGCCCUAGGGUCGUAAAGCUCUUUCAACUGUGAAGAUAAUGACGGUAGCAGUAGAAGAAACCCCGGCUAACUCCGUGCCAGCAGCCGCGGUAAUACGGAGGGGGUUAGCGUUGUUCGGAAUUACUGGGCGUAAAGCGUACGUAGGCGGAUUAAUAAGUUAGAGGUGAAUUCCCAGGGCUCAACCCUGGAACUGCCUUUAAAACUGUUAGUCUUGAGAUCGAGAAAGGUGAGUGGAAUUCCAAGUGUACAGGUGAAAUUCGUAGAUAUUGGAGGAACACCAGUGGCGAAGGCGGCUCACUGGCUCGAUAAUGACGCUGAGGUACGAAAGUGUGGGGAGCAAACAGGAUUAGAUACCCUGGUAGUCCACACCGUAAACGAUGAAUGCCAGACGUCAGCAAGCAUGCUUGUUGGUGUCACACCUAACGGAUUAAGCAUUCCGCCUGGGGAGUACGGUCGCAAGAUUAAAACUCAAAGGAAUUGACGGGGGCCCGCACAAGCGGUGGAGCAUGUGGUUUAAUUAGACGCAACGCGCAGAACCUUACCAACCCUUGACAUACUUGUCGCGGAUUCCAGAGAUGGAUUCCUUCAGUUCGGCUGGACAAUGUACAGGUGCUGCAUGGCUGUCGUCAGCUAGUGUCGUGAGAUGUUCGGUUAAGUCCGGCAACGAGCGCAACCCACGUCCUUAGUUACCAGCAUUUAGUUGGGUACCCUAAGGAGACUGCCGGUGAUAAGCCGGAGGAAGGUGUGGACGACGUCAAGUCAUCAUGGCCCUUACGGGUUGGGCUACACACGUGCUACAAUGGCAUCUACAGUGAGUUAAUCUCCAAAAGAUGUCUCAGUUUGGAUUGGGGUCUGCAACUCGACCCCAUGAAGUUGGAAUCGCUAGUAAUCGCGGAACAGCAUGCCGCGGUGAAUACGUUCCCGGGCCUUGUACACACCGCCCGUCACACCAUGGGAAUUGGGUCUACCCGAAGGUGGUGCGCCAACUAUUUAUAGGGGCAGCCAACCACGGUAGGUUCAGUGACUGGGGUGAAGUCGUAACGAGGUAACC